UGGGGAAUAUUGGACAAUGGGCGAAAGCCUGAUCCAGCGACGCCGCGUGGGUGAAGAAGGCCUGCGGGUUGUAAAGCCCUUUCGGUAGGGACGAAAACCUUCGACUUAACACGUCGAGGGAUUGACUUAACCCACAUAAGAAGCACCGGCUAACUCUGUGCCAGCAGCCGCGGUAAUACAGAGGGUGCGAGCGUUAAUCGGAAUUACUGGGCGUAAAGCGCACGUAGGCGGCUUUGCAAGUCGGUUGUGAAAUCCCCGGGCUCAACCUGGGAACUGCGACCGAGACUGCAUUGCUAGAGUAUGGGAGAGGAAAGCGGAAUUUCUGGUGUAGCAGUGAAAUGCGUAGAUAUCAGAAGGAACACCAGUGGCGAAGGCGGCUUUCUGGACCAAUACUGACGCUCAGGUGCGAAAGCGUGGGGAGCAAACAGGAUUAGAUACCCUGGUAGUCCACGCCCUAAACGAUGACAACUGGAUGUCGGGAGGGUUUGCCUUCCGGUGUCGUAGCUAACGCGUUAAGUUGUCCGCCUGGGAAGUACGGCCGCAAGGUUGA
rnacentral:rRNA from 1 species